rnacentral:rRNA from 1 species
UAAGUGUCUAAGGGCACACGGUGGAUGUCUAGGCAUCAGGAGCCGAUGAAGGACGUAGGAGGCUGCGAUAAGCCUCGGGGAGCUGCCAACCGAGCUGUGAUCCGAGGGUGUCCGAAUGGGGAAACCCGGCACCAGUCAUGUGGUGUCACCCGCAUCUGAAUAUAUAGGGUGUGUGGAGGGAACGCGGGGAAGUGAAACAUCUCAGUACCCGUAGGAAGAGAAAACAACCGUGAUUCCGUGAGUAGUGGCGAGCGAAAGCGGAGGAGGCUAAACCGUGCACGUGUGAUACCCGGCAGGGGUUGCGUGUGCGGGGUCGUGGGACCUUUCUGACAGUUCUGCCGGAUUGUCGAGGAGUGAGAAAACACCAUGGUUAGUGGAAUGCGCUGGGAUGCGUGACCGUAGAGGGUGAGAGUCCCGUACGCGAAAAUCUGGUGUCUCCUGAGAGUGUUCCCAAGUAGCAGCGUACUCGUGAAAUUCGCUGUGAAUCUGGCGGGACCACCCGCUAAGCCUGAAUACUUCCUGAUGACCGAUAGCGGACUAGUACCGUGAGGGAAAGAUGAAAAGUACCCCGGGAGGGGAGUGAAAGAGUACCUGAAACCGUGUGCCUACAAGCCGUCAGAGCCUUUUGGGGUGAUGGCGUGCCUUUUGAAGAAUGAGCCUGCGAGUUAGUGCUGCGUGGCGAGGUUAACCCGUGUGGGGUAGCCGUAGCGAAAGCGAGUCCGAAUAGGGCGGUUGAGUCGCGUGGUCUAGACCCGAAGCGGAGUGAUCUACCCAUGGCCAGGGUGAAGCGUCGGUAAGACGUCGUGGAGGCCCGAACCCACCAGGGUUGAAAACCUGGGGGAUGAGCUGUGGGUAGGGGUGAAAGGCCAAUCAAACUCCGUGAUAGCUGGUUCUCCCCGAAAUGCAUUUAGGUGCAGCGUCAUGUGUUUCACCAUGGGGGUAGAGCACUGGAUGGUCUAGGGGGCCUACAAGCUUACCGAAAUCAACCAAACUCCGAAUACCGUGGUGUGAGAGCGUGGCAGUGAGACUGCGGGCGAUAAGGUUCGUAGUCGAGAGGGAAACAGCCCAGAACACCAGCUAAGGCCCCUAAGUGUGCGCUAAGUGGGAAAGGAUGUGGGGUCGCCCAGACAACCAGGAGGUUGGCUUAGAAGCAGCCACCCUUGAAAGAGUGCGUAAUAGCUCACUGGUCAAGUGGUCCUGCGCCGACAAUGUAGCGGGGCUUAAGCGCACCGCCGAAGCUGUGUCAUUCACAUAUUACAUUCGCUCACAUGCUUGACGUGUGGGUGCAGUGGUGUGGAUGGGUAGGGGAGCGUCGUGUCACCGGGGAAGCGGCGGAGUGAUCCAGCCGUGGAGGUGACGCGAGUGAGAAUGCAGGCAUGAGUAGCGAAUGACGAGUGAGAACCUCGUCCGCCGAAUGACCAAGGGUUCCUGGGCCAGGCUAAUCCGCCCAGGGUAAGUCGGGACCUAAGGCGAGGCCGACAGGCGUAGUCGAUGGACAACGGGUUGAUAUUCCCGUACCCGUGUGGACGCGUCCCUGGUGAGGUCGGUGAUACUAACCGCCCGAAGCGACUGGUCUCUUCGGAGAUUGGGAGUGGAGCGCGGGAUCUGAUCCGGUAGUAGCCAAACGAUGGGGUGACGCAGGAGGGUAGCUCCGCCAGCUGUUGGUGUCUGGUGUAAGCGUGCAGCCCGCGACAUAGGCAAAUCCGUGUCGCAUGAGGGUGAGGCGUGAUGCAUAGCCGAUUGAGGCGAAGUAGAGUGAUCCCAUGCUGCCGAGAAAAGCCUCUAGUGAGUUUCCACGCGGCCCGUACCCCAAACCGACACAGGUGGUCAGGUAGAGAAUACCGAGGCGAUCGGGUGAACUAUGGUUAAGGAACUCGGCAAAAUGCCCCCGUAACUUCGGGAGAAGGGGGGCCACAGCGCUUGAAGCUCCUUGCGGGCUAGGGCGAGGUGGCCGCAGAGACCAGCGAGAAGCGACUGUUUACUAAAAACACAGGUCCGUGCGAAGUCGCAAGACGAUGUAUACGGACUGACGCCUGCCCGGUGCUGGAACGUUAAGAGGACGGGUUAGUCCCUUUGGGGGCGAGGCUCAGAAUUUAAGCGCCAGUAAACGGCGGUGGUAACUAUAACCAUCCUAAGGUAGCGAAAUUCCUUGUCGGGUAAGUUCCGACCUGCACGAAUGGCGUAACGACUUCUCGACUGUCUCAACCAUAGGCCCGGCGAAAUUGCACUACGAGUAAAGAUGCUCGUUACGCGCGGCAGGACGGAAAGACCCCGGGACCUUUACUAUAGCUUGGUAUUGGUGCUUGGUUCGGUUUGUGUAGGAUAGGUGGGAGACUGUGAAGUCCGCACGCCAGUGUGGGUGGAGUCAAUCUUGAAAUACCACUCUGAUCGUACUGAGUGUCUAACUUCGGACCGUGAUCCGGUUCAGGGACAGUGCCUGGUGGGUAGUUUAACUGGGGCGGUUGCCUCCCAAAGGGUAACGGAGGCGCCCAAAGGUUCCCUCAGCCUGGUUGGCAAUCAGGUGUUGAGUGCAAGUGCACAAGGGGGCUUGACUGUGAGACUGACAGGUCGAGCAGGGACGAAAGUCGGGACUAGUGAUCCGGCGCUGGCUGGUGGAAGCGGCGUCGCUCAACGGAUAAAAGGUACCCCGGGGAUAACAGGCUGAUCUUGCCCAAGAGUCCAUAUCGACGGCAUGGUUUGGCACCUCGAUGUCGGCUCGUCGCAUCCUGGGGCUGGAGUAGGUCCCAAGGGUUGGGCUGUUCGCCCAUUAAAGCGGUACGCGAGCUGGGUUUAGAACGUCGUGAGACAGUUCGGUCCCUAUCCGCCGCGCGCGUUGGAGACUUGAGGAAGGCUGUCCCUAGUACGAGAGGACCGGGACGGACGAACCUCUGGUGUGCCAGUUGUCCCGCCAGGGGCAUGGCUGGUUGGCUACGUUCGGAAGGGAUAACCGCUGAAGGCAUCUAAGCGGGAAGCUCGUUCCAAGAUGAGGUCUCCUGCCCCCUUUGAGGGGUUAAGGCCCCCAGCUAGACCACUGGGUUGAUAGGCCAGAGAUGGAAGCCCUGUAAGGGGUGGAGUUGACUGGUACUAAUAGGCCGAGGGCUUGC